UGUAUCUAGAAAGGGCAAACAAAACACAUGCCUCCAGAGGGUUUCAAGUAAUGCCUGGCAUUUAGUAAUAAAGCCAAACAUACUAAAAAGGAUUUUUUUUUUUUUUUUUUUUGCCCGUUUCUGGAAUGUGCAACAGGAAACAUUAUAUUCAAGUUAGAAAUCUCCGGUCUGUAAUCAGCAUCAAGUUUCAGUACUAGCCUGGCCAGCUGACUAAAAUUGUGUGGGUAAGCUCUUGAGCCUUUGUUAUGUAUGAGAAAAGGAUGCUGAUAACAGUCACUUCACUGGGAAGAAUGAAUGCAAAGUGCUCAGCAAUUUAGAGAAAAUUUUCCUUAAAUUGAACAGUUAUAUUUGUCUAAAAGCCAGUGAACAACAGUUUCAACCAGUAAUUCACUGCAUAAGGAUUCUUAUUGUGACUUUUUUUUUUUUUUUUGGAAGAUAGGGUCUUGCAUGAUCAUGGUGUCUGAGAGCCCUGAACUCCUGGGCUCAAGUGACCUUCAUGCCUCAGCUUCCUGAAUAGCUGGGACUAUAGGCAGAGGCUCUGCACCAGGCCAUAAUGACGUUUUUGAAGUAUAGUACAUAAUCACAAGUCAGUGAAGACAUAUCUGCAAGGAGCUAUGACGUACCAUGGUCUGGUUACUUGACGUUUUCUAUGAAGCAUUAUUUAAUGCCAUCAUAGUGUUUGUAGAGAUUCUGUGGAUGUUUUUUAAAAAUCCAAGAUUUCAAUUGUAAUUUAAUCUUCCCAUAGAUAAUAGUUAUAAACUUGGGACAAAAUCUGAAAUAAUUUUUUUUAGAAGGCUAGGAAUGGUGGCUCAUACCUGUAAUCCCAACACUGUGCGAGGGCUGAGGUAGGAGGAUUGCUUGAGUCCAGGAGUUAAAGACCAGCUUGGGCAAAAUAGCGAGACCCCCCAUCUCUACAAAAUAAAAAUUAAAAAAAGUUGGGCAUGGUGGCACAUGCCUGUAGUCCUAGCUUCUUGGAAGGUUGAGGCAUUUCAUCCCAUGAGUUUGAGGCUGCAGUGAAUGAUGAUCGUGGCACUGCACCCUGGCCCCGGCAAGAGACUGAAACCCCAUCCCCCCCAAAAAAAAAGUAGAAGAAAGGUCAAUGAACUAGACUAUAGAUCAAAAUUAAUUAUCCAAUAUGAACAGAGGAAAAAGAGGAAAGAACUUUAGUGACCUAUGGAAAUCAAGUGCUCAAAUAGAUGUAACUGGAGUUCCAAAUGAGAAGAUAAAUCAUGGCUCAAAAUGUCCCAAUUGAGGGAAAAAUACAAACAUACAGAUUCAAGAACUCUAGAAAAUUCCAAGGUAAAAAAAAAUUAAAAACCACAUCCAGGAUCCAAGAUGGCUCAAUAGAUACAACUCCAGUGCACAACAGUCAGUGAGAGAGA